UACGUAGGUGGCAAGCGUUGUCCGGAAUUAUUGGGCGUAAAGCGCGCGCAGGCGGCUAUGUAAGUCUGGUGUUAAAGCCCGGGGCUCAACCCCGGUUCGCAUCGGAAACUGUGUAGCUUGAGUGCAGAAGAGGAAAGCGGUAUUCCACGUGUAGCGGUGAAAUGCGUAGAGAUGUGGAGGAACACCAGUGGCGAAGGCGGCUUUCUGGUCUGUAACUGACGCUGAGGCGCGAAAGCGUGGGGAGCAAACAGG
rnacentral:rRNA from 2 species